rnacentral:rRNA from 1 species
UACGUAGGGUGCAAGCGUUGUCCGGAAUUAUUGGGCGUAAAGAGCUCGUAGGCGGUUUGUUGCGUCGGCUGUGAAAUCCCGAGGCUCAACCUCGGGUCUGCAGUCGAUACGAGCAAACUAGAGUGUUGCAGGGGGAGACUGGAAUUCCUGGUGUAGCGGUGAAAUGCGCAGAUAUCAGGAGGAACACCGGUGGCGAAGGCGGCUUCCUGGACCGGACACUGACGCUGGAGGCGACGGAAAGCUAGGGGAGCAAACGGG